rnacentral:rRNA from 1 species
UACGGAGGGGGCGAGUGUUGUUCGGAAUUACUGGGCGUAAAGGGCGCGCAGGCGGCAUGGCAAGUCGAGUGUGAAAUCCCUUGGCUUAACUAAGGAAUGGCGCUCGAAACUACCGCGCUGGAGGGCGGGAGAGGGAAGUGGAACUCUCGGUGUAGGGGUGAAAUCUGUAGAUAUCGAGAGGAACACCUGCGGCGAAGGCGGGUUGCUGGGCUGACACUGACGCUGAGGCGCGAAAGCUAGGGGAGCGAACGGG